UCCUAUGGACUACUAAUGGGUAGCAGAAGGUAGAGGUGAAGUUCAAACCAAGGAAAGGCCGUCCGACACCGAAGCCAAUGUCUCCCCUCCCCAAUGGUGAGGAAGACUGUCAGGCCUUCCUGAGCACCCGCUGGUUCCCCAAGGAGCCCAUCGAGACGGACCGUUCCAGCUCCCCACCCCUCAAAGCCCGGCCCCAGCAUUGGCUCUCUCCUCCCUGGGCCAUGAGGAAGACUGCCACUGUCCCUGCUGCUCCGAGCCCAGCCUGACUGCUCGCUGGGCCACCACACAGGCUCCAGCUAAGCCCCACUGACGACUGAGCCAGCUGUUCCAAAUGGCCGCCCUGGCUCGCUGCAAGAGCAUUAUUGCCAAGAUGGCUGCCAAACUGGCUAGCUCGUCCCCCUCAAGACCCUCUCGCCCAAACCCUGUAGCUCCAGGACCUGAUGGCACUGGUGCUCCUGCGCAUGGUCCUGUCAGGUUUGGAGCUAAGGCUAGGGAAGGCUGCAGGUACCUGGAAAGUCCUGGAAGCUGGUUUGGCGUUCGUGGCCUCCAAGUCCUCUCUGGAUCUGGGGUCCUUGAGGGCCAGGUUUCUGGGGGCUAAAGCGCUGGCCUCCUGUCUGGCCUCCUCUGCGUCCUCCUCCUCCCAGUCUGCAACGGCCAGGAGAGGCAGGCCAGAAGACAGCAGCCUGGACAGGGACAGGACACAGUGAGGAGCCAGAGUGGAUGAAGAUCAUUCAAGAGGAGAUGGAUGCUGUUGGACGGCCCAGACAUAUACUUUGAGGUCCUGAGGAGGGACCUGUGUGGUGAUAGAGAGCAAAACUGUCUGUCUAAGCUGAGGAGUGGGGGGCACACAGGGAGGGUCCUGCAAGCCCAAGCCCACCUCUCACGCUCUAACACUGACCAGGUAAGGCUGACGGCAGCACCCUGCUACAGCGCUAAUGCACAUGGUUUUAGGGUGAAUAGCAGUCCUCAGUUUAAACCGAACACUUUUCCCCUCCUGCCCCUUUCUCUGUUCUCUCCAUAUAGAUGGUUUCUCUGUGGAGGCAGUGCAGUCUCUGCUUCACUCCGCCUGGUUGGCUCUGCAGCAUUUCCCCCCACCCAACCUCUACCCCCGCCUCUGUGGUCUACUGGCCCUGUCACUGGGGCAAAGGGAUCCCGUCCCCAUGGCAAACCUCCAUGCCUAAUCCCUGGGCAUAACCACCCGCCCACACAUGACAUGAUACCUGGCCAAUCGCCUCAUGGGAUGCUGCAGCGCCCUCAGCACCCCUACUUCCUGUGGCUAUGUGGGGGACACCAUCCUGCUGUUCCGGCUGGAAAGAGGCUCAGUGUAAAGAUUUCCGUCCUCCUCUUCUGAGGAGGAGUAGGAAGGAUCGGAGGACCAAAAUGCAGCGUGGCAAGUUUUCGUCGUGUUUUAAUUGAACAAACUGAACACUACACAAAAUAAUAAUGACGAGAAAAUGAAACAGUUCUGCCAGGUGAACAGACACUAAACAGAAAUUAAACACCCACAACCAAAAUGGGGAAAACAGGCUACCUAAGUAUGAUUCUCAAUCAGAGACAACCAACGACACCUGCCUCUGAUUGAGAACCAUACUAGGCCAAAUAGAUAGAAAUAUAACAACCUAGAAAAAAGAACAUAGACUACCCACCCCAACUCACACCCUGACCAACCUAACACAAAGAC
ensembl:lncRNA